CUAUACAUGCAGUCGAGCGGACAGAAGGGAGCUUGCUCCCGGAUGUUAGCGGCGGACGGGUGAGUAACACGUGGGUAACCUGCCUGUAAGACUGGGAUAACUCCGGGAAACCGGAGCUAAUACCGGAUAGUUCCUUGAACCGCAUGGUUCAAGGAUGAAAGACGGUUUCGGCUGUCACUUACAGAUGGACCCGCGGCGCAUUAGCUAGUUGGUGAGGUAACGGCUCACCAAGGCGACGAUGCGUAGCCGACCUGAGAGGGUGAUCGGCCACACUGGGACUGAGACACGGCCCAGACUCCUACGGGAGGCAGCAGUAGGGAAUCUUCCGCAAUGGACGAAAGUCUGACGGAGCAACGCCGCGUGAGUGAUGAAGGUUUUCGGAUCGUAAAGCUCUGUUGUUAGGGAAGAACAAGUGCAAGAGUAACUGCUUGCACCUUGACGGUACCUAACCAGAAAGCCACGGCUAACUACGUGCCAGCAGCCGCGGUAAUACGUAGGUGGCAAGCGUUGUCCGGAAUUAUUGGGCGUAAAGGGCUCGCAGGCGGUUUCUUAAGUCUGAUGUGAAAGCCCCCGGCUCAACCGGGGAGGGUCAUUGGAAACUGGGAAACUUGAGUGCAGAAGAGGAGAGUGGAAUUCCACGUGUAGCGGUGAAAUGCGUAGAGAUGUGGAGGAACACCAGUGGCGAAGGCGACUCUCUGGUCUGUAACUGACGCUGAGGAGCGAAAGCGU
rnacentral:rRNA from 1 species